rnacentral:sRNA from 1 species
ACACACGGAAGGAGGUGGUCCGAGAGAUGAAGCUCUACCGGACGCGAGAGGUGACUGCCCGCUAGUCGCCCGAGGAACUCGGACGGACUGCACCCGCCGCGCCUCACCGGUCAGGACACCGGCGGGGCGGUGAGCGGACCACCGGCAGUCACCGCAGCCCGU